GCUGCACGAGCCCCAUACUGUUCUCUUUUUUUUCCUCCGCUGUGGAGCCGCACUUGGAUAUUGCCCAUAUUUAGGCAGCGAGAGUUGACCAGUGUGUGCGUGUCGCAUGUCCUCAUCACGUGUGAUCACAUCAGCUUUGUUGACAGAAACACAUUGAUCAGCAUUGUAGAAGGUGGAUCUGGUUUUGGAUGAGGGGCAGCAGACUUUGAGACAAUCACUGCCACUGGCACCUUUCAACCAUCCAACCUGACCAGCAGGACCACCCCGGGGAGGAGAGGAAUAGUUGGGAUGUGGUCCAUGACAAUCCAUUUUGGGUUAAAGGCUGCUCCUGGCUGAUGUCCGGUUGCAGGGAAAUAAAAUGGAGAUAAUUGGACAGGCUGGUCAACGGGAAAUAAGACCCUACUGUCCCCACAUCUUUCCAGACCUGCCUCCACCACAAAAUCCUGUAUCAAGCUGUUCCCACUACAGCGAGACAAAGAGAGUUCAUGUCAUGUCUACAAAAUUGAUGUCAACAGUUUCACUGAAAACUGGCUUUAUUGAAUAUAAAUCUCUGUUACAGUGCCAAUGAAGUGGUGCUGCUGUACUUCAGCAGUUACAACAUGGUUAAGUCAAAAUGUGAACAAAAGACAAAAGGCUUUGCAUGAUUACAGUCAUUUUUAUAGAAGGCAAACUGUAAUAGUUGUGCCAUGUUUAAAAAUAAUAAGUAAAAGAAAAUAAAGACACAUGUGUUGUAAGUUUGGACUUAUAUGAUGUUUUGAUAAAUUAUUGGAAUGAGUUAUGAAGUAAGUGCACAAAGAAGGUAAAUGGUUGGCACCUGUCAUAUCAUUUAUGAAGGCACUUUAUAGCACACAUUUACCAGGAACAAAGACUGAGCUGAUAUGAGGGACAGGAAUUUUCUAGAGAGUAUCAAGCACUACAUCAAAUACUACAUCGGCACAGAGAACAUGUUACUGGAGUGACUCGCUAGACACCAAGCACCCACAUACAGUCUGUAUGAUGUCAAAUGUCUUGAAGUUAAAUAUAUGGCUUCAUAAUCUUUACACAAACAAGUUCUCUGAUGCCUGAAUACUGCAGCUGUUCAAAUCAAAACACUUUCAGAAAUAAUUUUACCAAGAUAGCAACCUAUAGGAAGACACCUUUUCUAAUACAUUUAAUAGCUCAAUUUUGCAUUCUUUGAUUUGAUUUGUUCGACUUAAAAAUGGCAACAUUUAUUUCAUUAGCCUUGUAUCUGAUUUGAACAGUAUAACAUGUAACAUGCGGAAUAUUAAUCGUCAUUUGACCACAGAGUUUUAGCCUCUGAAUGUGUUCACACACACACACACACACA